AAAAAACAAACAAACAACACUGGGUCAGUAGCCUUGUUUGAUCUUUCUGAAGUUUUUCCAUCGAAAAAGUACUCAUGCUUAAAUUCCUCUCCCAGACGCUCUUUUACCCUCUGAGCUCUCGUGGGUUUCUCGGCUUCCCUUUUAUUCCCCUGCACCUCCGUCCUGGCCAAAGUGCAGGAACAAUACUAGAAAUCAUUUCCCUCGGCCCCGAUGGAAUACCACUCACAGAACUCUGUUUACAGCCACGUUAGGGUGAUCUCAGCGCAGACCUUGAGGUUCUGGGAGGCUUAGGGCAGCACGAAGAGAACAUUUGCUCCAGUAGGCUUUAGGGAAAACCCCCAUCCACUCCAUCCCUGGUACAAGGCAGACAAACCCAUGGGGAUCAGACUUGUAUUAUUGAUAGAAAGGGGUUGACAUUAAAUGCUCCUUCACUCAAAACAUCUACAGGUCAGAGGACUCGAGCUGUGCUCUGGGCACAUGAAAACACAUGUCCGGAUGCACACAGAAUAUCCCAAGUGUUUGACCCUCUUGGUGACUCAAGCAAAGUUGGAGAAAAACAAAGCACAACCCCCUCCCCGCCGGAAUCACUACAACCCCGGGGAAAUGUAAGACUAGCUGACAUUUAUAGCUUCAACAUCCAAUCCCUGGCAAUGCCUGCCUCAGCCUGAUUGUCAGCUCUCCUGAGAGCCCAGAACUAAAACUGAACGUUUCCCCACUGCCAGCUCACAGUGUCCUAAAGACCAGCCGGGCUGAUGAACCUGCAGCUUUGUCCACCAUCUAUCCACUCAGGCUCUGACUGAUGCUCCAGCGCUGGGAAAUACUUCCUGGUGGUGAUUAGCAGGCACCUGCCCUGUGCCGAGUACACAGGAAUGAACACCAGAAUGGGGCAAGACAUCAGUUAGUCCUCAGUCCCAGGGACUGUAUCAGGAGGAGACAGACAGAGCUGGCACAUGUUCCAGUAGAAUCAGAUGCCAUGAUCAGCUAAGAGGGGACACAAGACCUAAGACAUCGUGACAGAACCUGACUUCCGGGCCAGAUGCUGUGCUCAGAGAAUGUGAAAUUGACUCCGGAGCCAGAGGGAGCCUGGGGGGGCAGGGGGUGGGGUAAGGCUUUGGGAGUAAGUCUGGCUCAGAUGGAACCAUAGGGGACCUCAGGAGCCAGUGGGGCAGCAGGAUCUUGAGUGGUCACCGUUAUGUCACCUUGGUUAGAAGCCGAACUAUCAGUGGCUUUCAAAGAAGGAAAGCAGCCUGUGAGGGGGUGGAGCCGCCUGCUUAGUCCUUUCAGAUGUGGGCAAAAGGUAAAAGGUUUUGAUUCUUAUUUUGCAACACUGUUACCUUCACCUUGGAAUCAACGAGCUAAGGCCUGGGCAAGCCAAUCAGUGUGAAUCCCACAAACACAAGCUAGGCUUUGUACAGCUUUCCGGAUGUCACUCUAUAAUGCCAUUUACAUGCCUUAUAAAAUAUAAAAGGGCCACCUACCAUUUAUAAAGUGGUAAACACAGGAAGGGGGUGAGAUGGGUCUUUUGUGCGCUUAUGAAGUACAGAGGCGUUUCCUCCGGCUUUGUGCUGUGGGCUUUCUCAGAAGGGGUGAACAUCAAAGGCCCGACAAUAACCGUUCAGUCUCGGAAAGUGGAGUGUCUCCUUUCUCGUCACUUGCUGUUUACCUAAAGUCUUGUAGUUUAUAAUCUGCUGUUCUGAACACUUCAGUAGGAGACUUUUCAAGGGAGUGAGCCGGCCUACACUAAACGCAAGGUGCAAAGAUCCCAGACAAAGUGAGAUUGUCACCAGGCAACAGGUCUCAGUUGGAUCCCAUGCUCUUGAACAGGACGGGUGAGUGACUGCUGUGGUUACUCACGUUCCAGGCAAAUGAAAUAAGGGAAAUCAAAAUGAACACUCACGGGUGUGAUCUCUGAAGCUCUAAGCUCUUGGCUUUAUAGGGGUUAAACUUAGGCAAGGUCGCACACGGUGGCAGCAGGAUGAGAGCUGCCCAACCAUAGGCAGGUCCCAAACUGUGUCUUCCAAUCAGAGAGGCAGAACAAACGGCUGGGAACCCCCCCCCCCAAGCCGGCCUCCUGCUUCAUGGCUCUUCUCACCCAUUGUGCCUACAUCGUGUGAGAACUGUCCGUUCAGUUCUCCAACAUAGGAUGUUAUGGAACUGGAGCUUCCGGUUCAGCCUGCACAGCAAGUGUUAACUGCUUCAGGUCCAGAGGAAACACAUGAGUCUUUUCAUCACAUUUAGCGUGCAAAGCCUCACAUCCUGUUUGGAUGUCAGGACGAUAGGAGGCCUGGGUCUGAUGAGACCGAAUAGGAAGAUCAAGGUGGGGCACUGGGUGUGGUUAAAUGAAAGUCUAGGUCACUAGGUGACUGGGUGUGAAGCAAAGCUCGGCAGGGUUCUCUUCGCUGACAGGGCUUAGCCACUGCUGUGGUAGAACCUGUGGUCUGAUGGGUAAGAACAAGAAGGCCACUUCCUGUCCCAAGGACCAGGAGGUGAAGACACUUGUGGCUGCAAACUCUGCCUACAAUUAGGCCCUGGGAUGAGUUUGAACCAUGAGUUCCGGAUGUUUCCACCCUCGCUGGCUUCUCAGGGGUGGCCAGCAUUCAUCUUCAUAUCAUUUCUCCUGAUGUGCGGGUUUAAAGGCUGCUUUACGGCACAUUCAGGAGCUCCCACUUGGGUCAGUACUUAGCAAGACCUCCUGGCCACCUUGGAAUGGUGAGGCUGCACCUCUGCUGUGACUGGUGUGACCUCGGAGGGCUGUGUCAUGGGAGGCCUCUCCCCACACUCCAACACUGAUACCCUCUAGGAGCCAGAAACUCCCCAAGUGUACCUGACCAGGGUAAAGUACCGGGUAAGGAGUGGCUGUGACACAACCCCAGCACAACUGAGGAGGCUAUGCUCUUAGGAUUAUUACCUCCCAUUGGGACUGACGGUCACGUGGGUGGGGGCCCGUUACCCUUCCAGCUCAUGCUGGUAGCCUGCCUAUAAGACAUCAACACCUUCUCUCUGAGAGGGUCUCAGGAAUAUUACACAGGCACUUUUCAUUUAUAUAGGUUAUACAUUCCCGGGUCUGAGAGCGUAUUCCGGGCACUCCUAAGACCAUCAUACUUUAUCAGAGAGCAGCAGAGAAGGCGUCAAGAUAGACGGUAUGUGGAAAGGAGCAGGCUGAGUCUUAGGGUAGACUUCCAGGUGUCCCUCUCCUUUGGGACGGGGAGGUAACAGACAUUAACUAAGGCAAGCAGUGGUCUCCAGCUAGCUCUGGGCACCUUGCUAUGCUAGCUGCCUGCUCUGUCAAUCUUCCAAACAACACCUGGCUCCAAGAACAAGUGAGUUUGGGCAACUUAACACUGCCUGUCUGAUACACUGAUCUCUGUAUUAUUAUUGUUGCUACGACUUGUGCUGGCUGGUUUUAUGUCCACUUGACGCCCGCUGCAGUCAUCAGAGGAGGGAACCAACUCAGAAUAUGCCACCGUAAGAUCGGGAUGUAGGCAAGCCGGUUCAGCAUUUUCCUUUAUUAAUAACUGAUGGAAAUGACCCAGUCCGCUGUGGGCAGUGCCAGCCUGGGCUGGUGGUUCUGGGUUCUAUAAGCAGGCUAAGUAAGCCAUGAAAAGCAAGCCAGUAAGCAGCACUCCUCCAUGGCCUCUGCAUGAGCUCCUGCCACACCCCCACCCCGGGUUCCUGUCUCAUGAGUUCCUGACCUGACAUCCUUCAAUGAUGAACAGUCGGUGACAGGGAAGUGUAAGUCAGAUAAGUCCUUUUCCCUCCCCCAAGCUGCUUUUGAUCAUGGCGUUUCACCACGGCAACGGUCACUCUGAUUGACACUACUGUUCUAAUUACCGUCAUCGAAUGUGCUUCUGCAACACAGAGUGUCUUUGUCUGGCCAUAAAGGUCCCGACUUAGCUUGUUUCAUUGGACACAAACACAGCCACCCAUGGUCCCGUGGGUCCUUUAGCACAGUAGAACUCUCUGCCCCUCACUUCAUGCCUUACCCUUAGAGGUGAAGCUUGUCUCUUACAGACAGCGUCAGUUGAAUCCUAUCUGGAAAGCAGCUGCCAUGGGCUCUUUUGGAGAACUUAACCGACAUUAUGCAUGAGGUGUGCUAUGCUAUCUGGAUGUUUGGUCCAACACCAGUCUUACUGUCACCUGAAGCACUUUUGAGAUAAGACUAGCAGAUUGAGCAAUGGAGAUGCCCUCUGUUCUCCGAGGAGCGCCUUACCCGGUCAUUGCAUGCUUAGGAGAAAUGGAGGUGUCUGAGGGAAAGAGAACCCAGACUCCAGGCUCACACCGCACCGCCACCUCUUUGUGGUAGGCUAACACACUUCCUGUGACUGUAGCUGAACACCUGAGCUGGGAAGUUUAUGAAACAUGGAAAAAUUGUUUAUCUCUGAGGAUGGGAAAGUCCAAGGGCAUGGCGCCGGCUGUCUGCAGGGCUGUUGGCACGGCUGUUGGUUGCUGCUUCAGGGAAUAGCCAAAAGCACAGGGCAAGUGAUCCCUACACAAGAUGCAAAACGUGAGGGGUGCACUCACGACGAACCAAGUCCUACAAGAGCUUGCAUGAGAGCAGCACCAACCUCCGAAUGACCAAGUAUGUGCCAUUAGGAACCAAGCCUCCAGGACAGCCUUUCGGGGGAGACUCUAUACCCUAACCAUAACUGGGACCACGCCUCCGUAUAAGUGUUGGAGAACAAUCACAUUCAAAGCUCAGGACCUGGAGCCCCGGCCUGCUGCAUGGUUCAUCUUCAUUGUCAACCUGACUGGAUUUGGAAUUAUCUAGAAGAUGUACCUCUGAAGGGAAGAGCCACCCUGAAUGUGGGAGGCACCAUCUUUAUGCUAAAAUUGAAGAAAGCACGUUGGGGCAGCAACAUUCAUCUUCUUGCUGCUUCUGGACUGAAUGUGACCCAACCUGAGCCAGAAUAAAUCCCUCUCCCUUUAAA
rnacentral:sRNA from 1 species